GGCUGUGAGGGCGAUCUGGCUGCCACGUCUGUCACCCCAUUGACCGCCAGGGUUGAUGCGUCUGAUCUAGGCCGUGCCCCUUCCUCCAUCACCGCUCCAUGCGCAUCCCUCCGGAGAGCUGUGCGUUCUGUGGAAGAGGACGACGCCCCGCGACAGAGGAGGUUUGCGCUCACGGGUUCCCGAGUAGCUGCGCUCCCCUGCUGGAACCUCCAAACCAGCUCUCAGGAUUCCGCAACACAGAGAAGGUAAGACAGGUUGCCAAAGACAGGCGCCACCUUGGGUUUGCUCU
rnacentral:snRNA from 1 species